rnacentral:rRNA from 1 species
UACGGGGGGAGCAAGCGUUGUUCGGAUUUACUGGGCGUAAAGGGCGCGUAGGCGGCGCAACAAGUCACUUGUGAAAUCUCCGGGCUUAACCCGGAGCGGCCAAGUGAUACUGUCGUGCUAGAGUGCGGAAGGGGCUACUGGAAUUCUCGGUGUAGCGGUGAAAUGCGUAGAGAUCCGGAAGAACACCGGUGGCGAAGGCGGGUCUCUGGGCCGAUACUGACGCUGAGGAACGAAAGCGUGGGGAGCGAACAGG